GAUAACUGAAUCCCUAUCUCCUCACAUCUCAUUUUCUCACUUUGGUAUCAUUAAUUAGUUGAUGAGGUUGAAGGUCUUGCUUCUUCCGUAAGUAUCGUGCAUCUGUGUCUUCUGAAAUCAUCAGGGAGAUAUUGAUAAUGCAUAAUGUGUUCUUGCCUCCACCAACAGAGCUGAAAUCAGAGACUGUUUAGACUUUGGAACGUCUAAGGUAGUGCAGUGAGUAGUUGCCAAGGUGAUGGCUGGUUGUAAACGAAUGAGACGCUAAACCAGUUGAAACUUGAGAAGAAGACCAACCAAUUUCCCUCCUUGCUACUCAUGCUCCUCUUGAGGUGAUAGACUAGGAGAAGCCACUAGCAUCAACAUCAGCUGGCUGGGAGUUCCACUUCUUGCUUCCUCAGACAUCAAAAAAAAAAUAUUGAAGUGCUGUGAGGGACUCUGUCUGCCUACCAAGAAGGUGCCUUUCAGAUCAUGUUUUAAAACCUUCCAUGUCUGGCGUUGGAAACGCAACCGCGGCUUGGUGGUGGAUAGCAAGAGGCAAAGGUACUAAUACAGGCCUUUGAUGAACGUGAAGUGGUGUGACAUGAACUUUGGAAAACGGAGGGGCCAGUACUUGAAGGAGGAAGACGUGGUUGGCCAGGAGCGGUGGAGGAUUGUCUUGAGCACAUCCUAUGAAGAGACCCCUUCCCAGGCUUGCUAAGGUGCCAUGCUGAAAUGGUGAUAAUGUGCUGAAGGAACAUCUGAGAAAGACUGUGAAAGCACCAAGCACAGCGUGCAGAGAAGGCUGACAACGACUCAGCUGAUCCUCAUAGUCCCCGUUACAACACCAAGCACGUGGUUGAAUGUCUAGGAGACGAGGCUUCAGAACAGAGGGGGUGUGACUUUCCUCUAAAGUCCAGUGUGUUCUCACAGUGCCAAACAGACAUCCCUGCAAUAGCACAGGGACACG